AAGCUGAGCAUACCUCUUCGCCAUUUUUGGGGGUUUCCGAUACUGAGUUAGGUUAAGUGGCUCACUGUGAGGAGCUCGGCUACAACUCCCAGCAGUUAUUCUUCAUCCGAGAAGCAUUAGGUAGCAGGUAAAGGAUUUAUGGAGUCGCCUGGAGAGCCUCUCCGCCAGUCCCACGUC